GAUGAACGCUGGCGGCGUGCCUAAUACAUGCAAGUCGAGCGAACAGAUGAGGAGCUUGCUCCUCUGACGUUAGCGGCGGACGGGUGAGUAACACGUGGAUAACCUACCUAUAAGACUGGGAUAACUUCGGGAAACCGGAGCUAAUACCGGAUAAUAUAUUGAACCGCACGGUUCAAUAGUGAAAGACGGUUUUGCUGUCACUUAUAGAUGGAUCCGCGCCGCAUUAGCUAGUUGGUAAGGUAACGGCUUACCAAGGCAGCGAUGCGUAGCCGACCUGAGAGGGUGAUCGGCCACACUGGAACUGAGACACGGUCCAGACUCCUACGGGAGGCAGCAGUAGGGAAUCUUCCGCAAUGGGCGAAAGCCUGACGGAGCAACGCCGCGUGAGUGAUGAAGGUCUUCGGAUCGUAAAACUCUGUUAUUAGGGAAGAACAAAUGUGUAAGUAACUAUGCACGUCUUGACGGUACCUAAUCAGAAAGCCACGGCUAACUACGUG
rnacentral:rRNA from 1 species